rnacentral:lncRNA from 1 species
UAGGCUCACAGCAAAAUGAAAGGCAGGUGCAGAGACUUCCCGCGUACCCCCUGCCCUGCCCUGCACAGCCGCCCCGCAUCACCCCCCAGAGCUGUGGCCCCUCGUCAUCACCAAUGCUGCCGCUUCCUUAGGGUUCACUCUCCGUGUUGCGCCUUCUGUGGGUUUGGAGAAACAGCGAGGGCCUGUAUCUGUCCCAGCAUCCCUCGGAAUAGCUUCCCUGCCGUGAACUCCCUGCGUGCCACCUGCGUGCCACCUGCGUGCCCCUCCCCCACCUGCCGUCCCCAGGCGCUCUCUUGGAUCUUCUGGAUGCGCUCUUGGGAAUCUGGCCGGGCAGGCGAGGAGGUCUUGACGCCUGGAGGAGGACGUUUCCAGCACACAGCAUCACACGAAUCCGUCAGGUUCUGGGCGCCUGGGCGGGAGGCGCCCCUAAGCCCUGAGCCUGAGAACGGGGAGCGGGGAUGGGGAGGCUGGAAGGACCUACGUGGCCUCAGCAGCUCCUGAAGGGAUCCCGCAGCUGAGGGACCGUGCCAUCGGGGAGGGGGGCUGGCUCCCCUCUGGCACCUUUCAGCGAGAAUUACAAGGCAUUGGUGAGCUGAAAUCUCCCCAGACUGCUCGGUGGGACUCCUGCCCAGCUGAGGGUGCCAGGGUGAGGGGCCCACUCCCUGCCCUGGGGCUGCCCGGGGCAGCGGGCACUGGUCCAUCAGGAACCCACAAGCCUCCCAGCGGCGUGGCCUGUGAGGCUGGGGCUGAAGGACCCGGGAGAGCUCUGCUGGGCUGGCUCUGGGUCAGCCGGACUGCAUGUGAUGACUGGAGUUUCUGUUCAUUGCCUGCUCUGGACGGCCCUGAAUCUGCCUGGCGGCCUUGGGAAACCACUGUUUCACCUCUGGUUGCCAAAGCACAGAGACAAGCACACAGUUUUAUGGGUGCAGAUCCGUUUUCUCCCUGUGUGGGGCCCUCCAGGGCCCGACCCCAGCCUCUGAAGCAAAGCCUCCUUGUGCCCCUCCUAAAAACCCCCGUCCUUUUCCC